UACGAAGGGGGCUAGCGUUGCUCGGAAUCACUGGGCGUAAAGCGCACGUAGGCGGACUCUUAAGUCUGGGGUGAAAUCCUGGAGCUCAACUCCAGAACUGCCUUUGAUACUGGCGAUCUCGAGUCCGGGAGAGGUGAGUGGAACUGCGAGUGUAGAGGUGAAAUUCGUAGAUAUUCGCAAGAACACCAGUGGCGAAGGCGGCUCACUGGCCCGGUACUGACGCUGAGGUGCGAAAGCGUGGGGAGGCAAACAGG
rnacentral:rRNA from 1 species